rnacentral:rRNA from 1 species
GACGAACGCUGGCGGCGUGCUUAACACAUGCAAGUCGAACGAUGAACAGGAGCUUGCUCCUGGGAUUAGUGGCGAACGGGUGAGUAACACGUGAGUAACCUGCCCUUGACUCUGGGAUAAGCGUUGGAAACGACGUCUAAUACCGGAUAUGAGCUGCGGCCGCAUGGUCUGCAGUUGGAAAGAAUUUUGGUCAAGGAUGGACUCGCGGCCUAUCAGGUAGUUGGUGAGGUAAUGGCUCACCAAGCCUACGACGGGUAGCCGGCCUGAGAGGGUGACCGGCCACACUGGGACUGAGACACGGCCCAGACUCCUACGGGAGGCAGCAGUGGGGAAUAUUGCACAAUGGGCGAAAGCCUGAUGCAGCAACGCCGCGUGAGGGACGACGGCCUUCGGGUUGUAAACCUCUUUUAGUUGGGAAGAAGGGAGCUUGCUCUUGACGGUACCAGCAGAAAAAGCACCGGCUAACUACGUGCCAGCAGCCGCGGUAAUACGUAGGGUGCAAGCGUUGUCCGGAAUUAUUGGGCGUAAAGAGCUCGUAGGCGGUUUGUCGCGUCUGCUGUGAAAUCUGGGGGCUCAACCCCCAGCCUGCAGUGGGUACGGGCAGACUAGAGUGCGGUAGGGGAGAUUGGAAUUCCUGGUGUAGCGGUGGAAUGCGCAGAUAUCAGGAGGAACACCGAUGGCGAAGGCAGAUCUCUGGGCCGUUACUGACGCUGAGGAGCGAAAGCAUGGGGAGCGAACAGGAUUAGAUACCCUGGUAGUCCAUGCCGUAAACGUUGGGAACUAGAUGUAGGGGCCAUUCCACGGUUUCUGUGUCGCAGCUAACGCAUUAAGUUCCCCGCCUGGGGAGUACGGCCGCAAGGCUAAAACUCAAAGGAAUUGACGGGGGCCCGCACAAGCGGCGGAGCAUGCGGAUUAAUUCGAUGCAACGCGAAGAACCUUACCAAGGCUUGACAUAUACCGGAAACGUCCAGAGAUGGUCGCCCCGCAAGGUCGGUAUACAGGUGGUGCAUGGUUGUCGUCAGCUCGUGUCGUGAGAUGUUGGGUUAAGUCCCGCAACGAGCGCAACCCUCGUUCUAUGUUGCCAGCACGUUAUGGUGGGAACUCAUAGGAGACUGCCGGGGUCAACUCGGAGGAAGGUGGGGAUGACGUCAAAUCAUCAUGCCCCUUAUGUCUUGGGCUUCACGCAUGCUACAAUGGCCGAUACAAAGGGCUGCAAUACCGCGAGGUGGAGCGAAUCCCAAAAAGUCGGUCUCAGUUCGGAUUGAGGUCUGCAACUCGACCUCAUGAAGUCGGAGUCGCUAGUAAUCGCAGAUCAGCAACGCUGCGGUGAAUACGUUCCCGGGCCUUGUACACACCGCCCGUCAAGUCAUGAAAGUCGGUAACACCCGAAGCCG